GCCGGGAUGGUGAAAUGGCAGACACGCACGCUUCAGAAGCGUGUGCCGCAAGGCGUGGAGGUUCAACUCCUCUUCCCGGCA
rnacentral:tRNA from 1 species